rnacentral:rRNA from 1 species
UACGUAGGGUGCGAGCGUUAAUCGGAAUUACUGGGCGUAAAGCGUGCGCAGGCGGUGAUGUAAGACCGAUGUGAAAUCCCCAGGCUUAACCUGGGAACUGCAUUCGAGACUGCAUUGCUAGAGUAUGGGAGAGGGAAGUGGAAUUUCAGGUGUAGCGGUGAAAUGCGCAGAUAUCAGGAGGAACACCAAUGGCGAAGGCAGCUCACUGGGACGGUAUUGACGCUGAGACGCGAAAGCGUGGGGAGCAAACAGG